CCUACGGGUGGCAGCAGUGGGGGAUAUUGCACAAUGGGGGGAACCCUGAUGCAGCGACGCCGCGUGGGCGAAGAAGUAUUUCGGUAUGUAAAGCCCUAUCUGCAGGGAAGAAGAAAUGACGAUACCUGAGUAAGAAGCACCGGCUAAAUACGUGCCAGCAGCCGCGGUAAUACGUAUGGUGCAAGCGUUAUCCGGAUUUAUUGGGUUUAAAGGGUGCGUAGGCGGAAUGCCAAGUCAGCGGUAAAAUCGCGGGGCUCAACCUCGCUCCGCCGUUGAAACUGGCGUUCUUGAGUGGGCGAGAAGUAUGCGGAAUGCGUGGUGUAGCGGUGAAAUGCAUAGAUAUCACGCAGAACUCCGAUUGCGAAGGCAGCAUACCGGCGCCCAACUGACGCUGAAGCACGAAAGCGUGGGUAUCGAACAGGAUUAGAUACCCUAGUAGUC
rnacentral:rRNA from 1 species